rnacentral:rRNA from 1 species
GAUGAACGCUAGCUACAGGCUUAACACAUGCAAGUCGAGGGACCGGCGCACGGGUGAGUAACACGUAUCCAACCUGCCCUUUACUCGGGGAUAGCCUUUCGAACGAAAGAUUAAUACCCGAUAUAAAGGAUGGGGAUGCGUUACAUUAGGUUGUUGGUGAGGUAACGGCACACCAAGCCUUCGAUGGAUAGGGGUUCGGAGAGGAAGGUCCCCCACAUGGUAACUGAGACACGGGCCAAAAUGCUACGGAAGGCAGCAGUGAGUAAGAGUGGUCAAUGGGCGCUAGUCUGAACCAGCCGAGUAGCGUGAAGGAGGAAGGCUUAUGGGUCGUAAACUUCUUGUAUAGAAGAAUAGGUAUUAUAUGAAUAAGGAUCGGCUAACUCCGUGCCAGCAGCCGCGGUAAUUC